CUAGCGGCAGGCUUAACACAUGCAAGCCGAGGGGUAAGGCUCUUUCGGGAGUACACGACCGGCGCACGGGUGAGUAACGCGUAUGCAACCUACCUGUAACAGGGAGAUAGCCCAGGGAAACUUGGAUUAAUACCCCGUAGUAUUUCAAAGUGGCAUCAUGCUUUCAUUAAAGCUCGAGCGGUUAAAGAUGGGCAUGCGUGCCAUUAGAUAGUUGGUGAGGUAACGGCUCACCAAGUCUUCGAUGGCUACGGGGUCUUAAAGGAUGGUCCCGCACACUGGUACUGAGACACGGACCAGACUCCUACGGGAGGCAGCAGUGAGGAAUAUUGGUCAAUGGACGCAAGUCUGAACCAGCCAUGCCGCGUGGAGGAAGACGGCCCUAUGGGUUGUAAACUCCUUUUAUAUGGGAAUAAUAGUUUCUACGUGUAGAGAUUUGAAGGUACCAUACGAAUAAGCAUCGGCUAACUCCGUGCCAGCAGCCGCGGUAAUACGGAGGAUGCAAGCGUUAUCCGGAUUUAUUAGGUUUAAAGGGUGUGUAGGCGGGACUUUAAGUCAGUGGUGAAAUCUCAUGGCUCAACCAUGAAAUUGCCAUUGAAACUGUUAGUCUUGAGUAUAGUUGAGGUAGGCGGAAUGUGUCAUGUAGCGGUGAAAUGCUUAGAUAUGACCCAGAACUCCGAUUGCGUAGGCAGCUUACUAAACUAUUACUGACGCUGAUGCACGAAAGCGUGGGUAGCGAACAGGAUUAGAUACCCUGGUAGUCCGCGCCGUAAACGAUGAUCACUCGUUGUGCACGAUACACAGUGCGUGACUGAGCGAAAGCAUUAAGUGAUCCACCUGGGGAGUACGUUUGCAAGAAUGAAACUCAAAGGAAUUGACGGGGGCCCGCACAAGCGGAGGAACAUGUGGUUUAAUUCGAUGAUACGCGAGGAACCUUACCCGGGCUUAAAUGUAGAAUGACCGUCGCCGAAAGGUGAUUUCCCUUCGGGGCACACUACAAGGUGCUGCAUGGUUGUCGUCAGCUCGUGCCGUGAGGUGUCGGGUUAAGUCCCAUAACGAGCGCAACCCCUAUUGUUAGUUGCCAGCGAGUAAUGUCGGGGACUCUAACGAGACUGCCGGUGUAAACCGUGAGGAAGGUGGGGAUGACGUCAAAUCAGCACGGCCCUUAUGUCCAGGGCUACACACGUGUUACAAUGGCCAGUACAAAGGGCAGCUACCUGGUGACAGGAUGCUAAUCUCAAAAGUCGAUCUCAGUUCGGAUUGAAGUCUGCAACUCGACUUCAUGAAGUUGGAUUCGCUAGUAAUCGUAUAUCAGCAAUGAUACGGUGAAUACGUUCCCGGGCCUUGUACACACCGCCCGUCAAGCCAUGGAAGCUGGGGGUACCUAAAGUCCGUAACCGUAAGGAGCGGCCUAG
rnacentral:rRNA from 1 species